GAGUGAUGUGAUGCUUAACCAUCUUUCGGGACUUACCCAUUAAUGGGGAUACUUUUUUAUUUUCACUGAUCACUC
ensembl:snoRNA small nucleolar RNA, C/D box 2